GCAGGCAGGCCUAAAUAUCCUAAAAGCACUAGAUCUUAUGUGAUCUUGGAAGUUAAGCAGGGUCAGUCCUGGUUAGUACUUGGAUGGGAGAUUGUAAAUGAAUACAGGUGCUAUAGGCU
rnacentral:rRNA from 1 species